rnacentral:rRNA from 2 species
CAAUAAGCGGAGGAAAAGAAACCAACAGGGAUUGCCUCAGUAACGGCGAGUGAAGCGGCAAAAGCUCAAAUUUGAAAUCUGGUUCCGUCAGGAAUCCGAGUUGUAAUUUGGAGAGGACACUUCGGGUGCGGCCACGGUGUAAGUCCCUUGGAACAGGGCGUCGCAGAGGGUGAGAAUCCCGUCUUGCGCCGUUGGACCGCGCCCAUGCGAAGUUCCUUCGACGAGUCGAGUUGUUUGGGAAUGCAGCUCUAAGUGGGUGGUAAAUUUCAUCUAAAGCUAAAUAUUGGCCGGAGACCGAUAGCGCACAAGUAGAGUGAUCGAAAGGUUAAAAGCACCUUGAAAAGGGAGUUAAAUAGCACGUGAAAUUGUUGAAAGGGAAGCGCUUGCAACCAGACUCGGUCGUGGAGGCUCAGCGGGCGUGCGCGCCCGUGUACUCCUCCACGUUCGGGCCAGCAUCAGUUCCGGCGGUUGGUUAAAGGCCCCUGGAAUGUAUCGUCCUCCGGGACAACUUAUAGCCAGGGGUGCAAUGCGGCCAGCCGGGACUGAGGAACGCGCUUCGGCACGGAUGCUGGCGUAAUGGUUGUAAGCGGCCCGUCUUGAAACAC